AUCCAGCUGACAAGUCCCAAAUAGGACGAAACACGCGUCAAACUGGAU
rfam:Schistosoma mansoni strain Puerto Rico chromosome 4, complete genome